AGCGAACGCUGGCGGCGUGCCUAACACAUGCAAGUCGAACGUGAAAGGGAGCAAUCCCAAGUAAAGUGGCGUACGGGUGAGUAACACGUAGGUAAUCUACCCCAGAAUCUGGAAUAACCGGCCGGAAGGCUGGCUAAUACUGGAUAGAGCGUCGGAAUCCGUAAUUGGGUUUUUCGGGAAAGGGAGCCUGUAAAAAGGCCUUCGUUCUGGGAUGAGCCUGCGUCCCUUCAGCUAGUUGGUGAGGUAAAAGCUUACCAAGGCAAUGACGGGUAGCUGGUCGGAGGGGUGGGACGGUGAAACGGGAACUUAAGAACGGGCCAGACCCCUACGGGAGGCAGCAGUGGGGAGUCGGGCGCAAUGGACGAAAGGCGGACGCAGCAACGACGCGUGAGGGAAGGAGGCCUUCGGGUUGUAAAGCGCUGUCGAGUGGGAAGAAAAUGCUUGGAGUUCACAGCUCCAGGAACUGACGGUACCACUAAAGGAAGCACCGGCUAACUCCGUG
rnacentral:rRNA from 1 species